rnacentral:rRNA from 1 species
CUACGGGAGGCAGCAGUGAGGAAUAUUGCACAAUGGGCGAAAGCCUGAUGCAGCGACGCCGCGUGGGUGAAGAAGGUUUUCGGAUCGUAAAACCCUUUUCUGUGUGACGAGAGAGGACGGUAGCACAGGAAUAAGUCUCGGCUAACUACGUGCCAGCAGCCGCGGUAAAACGUAGGAGACAAACGUUAUCCGGAGUUACUGGGCGUAAAGGGCGUGCAGGCGGCAGCCUAAGUCUGGCGUGAAAUAUCCCGGCUUAACCGGGAGAGGUCGUCGGAUACUGGGCAGCUAGAGGGCGGUAGAGGCGUGUGGAAUUCCGGGUGUAGGGGUGAAAUGCGUAGAGAUCCGGAGGAACACCAGUGGCGAAGGCGACACGCUGGGCCGCACCUGACGCUAAGACGCGACAGCAUGGGGAGCGAACGGGAUUAGAUACCCGAGUAGUCC